rnacentral:tRNA from 12 species
AUCCUACUCCCCGAAUACACCAAAGGGCAUAAUUCCACUUAGCAAGUGGUGCCUGGGUUAUCUUGUUAAGACCUGCAAUUGUGGUAUAGGGAUACCUUUACUAUUGUUGUUCCAGAGUGGAGACCGGUGAAAUGGUUCAGGCUGAGAUAACUUGCGAGACGGUGCGAAAAACAAGGUGCUCUGCGAAUCGUCGCAACAAGUGUCAGUGAACGGGAUUCGUCCUAUAGCUGGCCGCAACAGUGAAUCUGAGGUGACACUUAGGGAACCAAAGUUGUGUGUCGAACAAUGCGAUUGUAGUUGAUGUUGCGGUAACGUAACUAUAAGAUUUUCGGAGGCACUCAGGCAAAAUCUACGUUGGAUAUAACGUUUACGUAUGGGUAAAAAAAUCUAUUAUGUGGUGCUUGUUUGAGUUGGGGUUGUUGAUACUUCCCACGCUUUAAAAAGGCUAGGUCAACCGGAGUUGCAAACCGGGGCCAUUCCUAGUCAGCGUGUAACCUUAACAGUUUGCAGCGCUAAGUCGAGUAGGAAAAACAUCCUGGUGUUUCACGGGUGGUAG